rnacentral:rRNA from 1 species
AUUGAACGCUGGCGGCAGGCCUAACACAUGCAAGUCGAACGAGUGGCGGAAGGGUGAGUAAUGACUGGGAAACUGCGCGAGGGAGGGGGAUAACUACUGGAAGCGGUAGCUAAUACCGCAUACAAUCGGAUGGGCCGAGAUGGGAUUAGCGAGUUGGUGGGGUAACGGCUCACCUAGGCGACGAUCCCUAGCUGGUCUGAGAGGAUGACCAGCCACACUGGAACGGAGACACGGUCCAGACUCCUACGGGAGGCAGCAGUGGGGAAUAUUGCACAAUGGGCGCAAGCCUGAUGCAGCCAUGCCGCGUGUAUGAAGAAGGUCUUCGGGUUGUAAAGUACUUUCAGCGAGGAGGCGUUACUCGCAGAAUAAGCACCGGCUAACUCCGUGCCAGCAGCCGCGGUAAUAC